rnacentral:lncRNA from 1 species
UUCAGGAAUGGGUAGAAAGAGCGAGAGAGCAAGCAGCAUGAGUGGCGGAGGAGAAGGAGAGAGUCUGGAGUUCACUCCCACGAAGGAAGCGUCGCCGACGCGGAAGAGGUCUCGAAGAAGGGUGGUUGGAGAAUCCUCUCUUGAAGAUUAAAGAAGGUUUCUUUUUCUUUUCUUUUCUUUUCUUUUCUCUUCCUGAGUUCUAUACUCCCUUUUUCAUCAUCAACUCAAUAAGCAGCAUGAGUGGCGGAGGAGAAGGAGAGAGUCUGGAGUUUACUCCCACNAAGGAAGCGUCGCCGGCGCGGAUGAGGUCUUGAAGAAGCGGGUGGUUGGAGAAUCCUCUCUUGAAGGUUAAAGAAGGGUUCUUUUUCUUUUCUUUUCUCUUUUUUAUUUUAUUUUAUUUUCUUUUCCCUUCCUGGGUUCUAUGCUCCCUUUCCCAUCAUCAACUCAAUUAUUUUCUUUUUUUUUUUCUCUUUCCCCGCUUUUCUCUGUUCAUGCUAUCACUCUCUUUCUAUAUUCGGAUUCGUCAAUGGAAACACUGGGAAGAUUCAAUUGCAAAAAAGAAAUACGAAACCGACCAAGGUACAUUAUUUCUUUUCUUUUCUUUCUUCAAUUCUUUCUUUCUGCAUCCUCCUCUAUCCAUCUUCAAUUACUUUUAUCAUUCCUCUGCAUUUUUUUUUAUUGUUGAUAAAUAUAACAUGCUUUAUGCUUUUGGUAUCGCCUCAUUUUACUGUGUCAACUAAAGCAUCACACCUUUGCAAAGAAUUUUCUAGUUGUUUUUGAAUCUUUUUAUUUCCUCGCNGGGAGCAGCGUUGGACUUUUAGUACAAAUGCCAAUGUAAUCGCUUACAACAUGACCGUAAUCGAUUAGAAUUGCAAACACUAAAUACAGACCUGGUAAAUAACAAAGUCAUUAGCAACAGCACAUUGGGAAGCCCUUCUCUAGCAGGGGCAGGGAGCAGCGUUGGACUUUUUGUACAAAUGCCA